rnacentral:rRNA from 1 species
AAACUCAAAGGAAUUGACGGGGACCCGCACAAGCGGUGGAGCAUGUGGUUUAAUUCGAAGCAACGCGAAGAACCUUACCAAAUCUUGACAUCGUCUGACCCCUCUAGAGAUAGAGUUUUCCCCUUCGGGGGACAGAGUGACAGGUGGUGCAUGGUUGUCGUCAGCUCGUGUCGUGAGAUGUUGGGUUAAGUCCCGCAACGAGCGCAACCCUUAAGCUUAGUUGCCAUCAUUAAGUUGGGCACUCUAAGUUGACUGCCGGUGACAAACCGGAGGGAGGUGGGGAUGACGUCAAAUCAUCAUGCCCCUUAUGAUUUGGGCUACACACGUGCUACAAUGGACAAUACAAAGGGUAGCAAAACCGCGAGGUCAAGCAAAUCCCAUAAAGUUGUUCUCAGUUCGGAUUGUAGUCUGCAACUCGACUACAUGAAGCUGGAAUCGCUAGUAAUCGUAGAUCAGCAUGCUACGGUGAAUACGUUCCCGGGUCUUGUACACACCGCCCGU